UAGGGAAUCUUCCACAAUGGACGCAAGUCUGAUGGAGCAACGCCGCGUGAGUGAAGAAGGUUUUCGGACCGUAAAGCUCUGUUGUUGGUGAAGAAGGAUAGAGGUAGUAACUGGCCUUUAUUUGACGGUAAUCAACCAGAAAGUCACGGCUAACUACGUGCCAGCAGCCGCGGUAAUACGUAGGUGGCAAGCGUUGUCCGGAUUUAUUGGGCGUAAAGCGAGCGCAGGCGGAAGAAUAAGUCUGAUGUGAAAGCCCUCGGCUUAACCGAGGAAUUGCAUCGGAAACUGUUUUUCUUGAGUGCAGAAGAGGAGAGUAGAACUCCAUGUGUAGCGGUGGAAUGCGUAGAUAUAUGGAAGAAUACCAGUGGCGAAGGCAGCUCUCUGGUCUGCAACUGACGCUGAGGCUCGAAAGCAUGGGUAGCGAACAGGAUUAGAUACCCUGGUAGUCCAUGCCGUAAACGAUGAGUGCUAAGUGUUGGGAGGCUUCCGCCUCUCAGUGCUGCAGCUAACGCAUUAAGCACUCCGCCUGGGGGAGUACGACCGCAAGGUUGAAAC
rnacentral:rRNA from 1 species